CUUAACCCGAUAGCGAGAGAUUUUAGAACCAAUGCUAACAGCAUGGGAAGCAUCCUGAAGUCGGCGUUGUGCAAGCCCACCCUGUAGUGGGAAGCCUGAACCGACUCAUCCGCUACCCACUUGAACCCCAGGGUUCAUAAUCCAUGUCUGUCGGGCUAUCC
rnacentral:other from 4 species